UACGUAGGGUGCAAGCGUUGUCCGGAAUUAUUGGGCGUAAAGAGCUCGUAGGCGGUUUGUUGCGUCGGCUGUGAAAUCCCGAGGCUCAACCUCGGGUCUGCAGGCGAUACGGGCAGACUAGAGUUCGGUAGGGGAGACUGGAAUUCCUGGUGUAGCGGUGAAAUGCGCAGAUAUCAGGAGGAACACCGGUGGCGAAGGCGGGUCUCUGGACAGUUCCUGACGCUGAGGCACGAAGGUCAGGGGAGCAAACGGG
rnacentral:rRNA from 1 species